CAGUAGCCACGGGAAUACGUAGGGCGCAAGCGUUGUCCGGAAUUAUUGGGCGUAAAGAGCUCGUAGGCGGUCUGUCGCGUCUGGUGUGAAAUCCCGAGGCUCAACCUCGGGCUUGCAUCGGGUACGGGCAGACUAGAGUGCGGUAGGGGAGACUGGAAUUCCUGGUGUAGCGGUGGAAUGCGCAGAUAUCAGGAGGAACACCGAUGGCGAAGGCAGGUCUCUGGGCCGCAACUGACGCUGAGGAGCGAAAGCAUGGGGAGCGAACAGGAUUAGAUACCCCGGUAGUCACUGUCUCUUAUAC
rnacentral:rRNA from 1 species